CUCAGGCAAGCUCCUAGGAAGCAACUUGUGAGCUGGGAUUUUCUGCCAAUGCCCAAGUGUCCAUCUGGAACUGUAGCAAAUUUCCUUGUACCAGCACAAUGAGGCAUUUAAGCACUUAUGAAGACAUACAAGAAAAUCCAUAUGUGGAAUUAACUGAUCUGAGUAAAGAGACAAUGUUUAAAUGCAGGUUGCUUUUUGCUUGGAUCUUAGUUCAUUCUCUCCGUGUUCCCGAUGGUCCUCUCCACCCGGCUCUUUCCUGUACUUGAUACAUCACCAGAAAAGACUUUCCUGCACCUGCCCAUUUCCUUCCGAGUAAAACAGCUCUUUACAGUU